rnacentral:rRNA from 1 species
UGGUGGCGAGUGGCGAACGGGUGAGUAAUAUAUCGGAACGUGCCCAGUCGUGGGGGAUAGCCCGGCGAAAGCCGGAUUAAUACCGCAUACGACCUACGGGUGAAAGCGGGGGACCUGCAAGGGCCUCGCGCGAUUGGAGCGGCCGAUAUCAGAUUAGCUUGUUGGCGGGGUAAAAGCCCACCAAGGCGACGAUCUGUAGCUGGUCUGAGAGGACGACCAGCCACACUGGGACUGAGACACGGCCCAGACUCCUACGGGAGGCAGCAGUGGGGAAUUUUGGACAAUGGGCGCAAGCCUGAUCCAGCCAUGCCGCGUGUG